rnacentral:sRNA from 1 species
UCUUCAAUGCGUCUGUCUCAUAAUUUGUAAACGUUUAUUAUCUUGAAGUCAUUGUUAAUCUGUGGUGAAAAGUAAUUGCUAAAUAGAAAUUCUGAGAAGAAAAAGGCCUCAUCCUUUUCACAUGAUGUAGGAAGGUCUGUUGCAUGAGGAUCUUUUAAUUUGUUUUGUAAAGCAAUGGGAAAUCCAGAAAACAUAGAAGAUGCAUAUGUUGCUGUUAUUCGUCCAAAGAAUACUGCCAGUCUCAAUUCUCGGGAAUACAGAGCUAAGUCAUAUGAAAUUUUGUUGCAUGAAGUUCCCAUUGAAGGACAGAAAAAAAAAAGAAAGAAAGUUUUGUUGGAAACGAAACUUCAAGGCAACAGUGAAAUAACACAAGGCAUAUUGGAUUACGUAGUAGAAACCACCAAACCAAUUUCUCCUGCAAACCAGGGUAUCAGAGGUAGGAAACUUCUUUUUUAAAAACACAUCGUUUAAAAUACUUGUGGAGAAAGAUUCUUUUAAAAAUAAACACAUAUUAAACCAGUUUCUUUUUAUGUUUCUUUACAUUUAACAAACUUGCAAAAAAACUCAAGUGUUUUUUAA